UAGGGAAUAUUGCGCAAUGGACGAAAGUCUGACGCAGCGACGCCGCGUGGGUGAUGAAGGCCUUCGGGUCGUAAAGCCCUGUCGAAAGGGAAGAAAAACUAUUUGGCUAAUAUCCAAGUAGCUUGACGGUACCUUUAGAGGAAGCACCGGCUAACUACGUGCCAGCAGCCGCGGUAAUACGUAGGGUGCAAGCGUUGUUCGGAAUCAUUGGGCGUAAAGCGCGUGUAGGCGGUCAGUUAAGUUGGGUGUGAAAUCCCUGGGCUCAACCGAGGAAGGGCAUCCAAAACUAGCUGGCUGGAAGAUGGUAGAGGAAGGUGGAAUUCCAAGUGUAGAGGUGAAAUUCGUAGAUAUUUGGAGGAAUACCGGUGGCGAAGGCGGCCUUCUGGACCAUUCUUGACGC
rnacentral:rRNA from 1 species